UACGUAGGGUGCAAGCGUUGUCCGGAAUUAUUGGGCGUAAAGAGCGUGUAGGCGGCCCGAUUAGUCCGCUGUGAAAAGUCCAGGGCUCAACCCUGGAAUGCCGGUGGAUACUGUCGGGCUAGAGUCCGGAAGGGGCGAGUGGAAUUCCUGGUGUAGCGGUGAAAUGCGCAGAUAUCAGGAGGAACACCAAUGGCGAAGGCAGCUCGCUGGGGACGUGACUGACGCUGAGACGCGAAAAGCGUGGGGGAGCAAACAGG
rnacentral:rRNA from 1 species